rnacentral:rRNA from 1 species
UACAGAGGUCUCAAGCGUUGUUCGGAUUCAUUGGGCGUAAAGGGUGCGUAGGCGGCGCGGUAAGUCGGGUGUGAAAUCUUGGAGCUUAACUCCGAAACUGCAUUCGAUACUGCCGUGCUUGAGGACUGGAGAGGAGACUGGAAUUUACGGUGUAGCGGUGAAAUGCGUAGAUAUCGUAAGGAAGACCAGUGGCGAAGGCGGCUCUCUGGUACGUGACUGACGCUGAGACGCGAAAGCGUGGGGAGCAAACAGG